rnacentral:tRNA from 6 species
GGAUCCGUAGCUCAGUUGGUAGAGCAGCAGACUCUUAAUCUGCGGGCCGAGGGUUCGAGCCCCUCCGGGUUCACAA